rnacentral:lncRNA from 1 species
AUGUGUCUUUGCCAACAGGUUGGCCAACCUGGUAAGGAGGGCUUUAAACUAGGAAAGAUGGGGGAAGGGGAGAGUUAUAGUGCCAGGGUAGCUGGCCAAAGACAGCUCAAGUCAGGACGCCUCCAGCAGGUGAAUGCAGCCAGGGAAGUGCGCAUGGGAUGUGGCUAUGGAGGAUCCUCUUGUACCCCUCCUGGGAAAGCUGCAUGCUCGAUCACCUCUCUGAAAUGCCUGUACACYAAUGCACGCAGCUUGGGGAACAAACAGGAAGAACUAGAGAUCUGUAUGCGGUCGCAGGGCCAUGAUCUCAUUGCCAUUACAGAGACAUGGUGGGAUAGCUGGCAUGACUGGAGUGCUGUCAUGGAUGGCUAUGUGCUUUUUAGGAAAGAUAGGCCAGGAAAGCGAGGUGGUGGAGUUGCUCUUUAUGUGAGAGAGCAACUGGAAUGUAUUGAGCUGUGCCUAGGGGUUUUUUGGGGUUGUUAGUACCAUUGCCACAGUUCCAAUUUGGGGCAUUUUGACCAGCACAGGCUGUCCUGCAUAGAAGUAUUCUGUACUACCAUAGCUGAAAAAUGUGACCCAUUGUCACUUUGAAUCUCCUCGGGCAGGGGAAUACACUAAACCAUUUCUUUAAGCUAAGGACUGUAUUUUCCCCAGUGGCCGUUGCAACAGCUGUAGCCAUGGUAGUUCCUGAAAUGACCUCUACCCCCACCAGUACAUACCUCUUGCCCCCUGAGAGUCAUAGCGGGCCUAUGUAAUCAGUUUGCCAGGUUUGCAACAACGUUUUCCUGUCUCAAAUAUGCAGGGGAGGUGCUUUGUUCAGGUGGUCCUUGUUGAGUCAAAAAUGGCAUUGUGAACAGGCAGUUACAAUCUGUUCACACAGUUUUACUGAUACGGGCCAUCCCCGGGCCAUCCCUUCCAUAUACAGAUCAGUUUGUCCAGUGUGGCCACGUUUUACGUGCAACCACUCCAGCAAGCGUUCCCACUCCUGGCCAUCGUUCAUGACAUCUAUUUGUUGUAGUUGGGUAAGGCUAUCUACUUGCUGAUUGAACUGGGCAAGGAUAGAAGUUGAUUUGUUGCGUCAUUUUACCCAGCCUAGGUACAAUGGCCUUUGCUUCCCUAUCUCUAAUAAUUGCUUCCAACUGUCAGUUUGCCAGACCAGGGUUCUGUUUACCUGCCAGUCAUUGGCUGCCCAGUGGCCUAUCCACUCUGCGGCUCCCUUAAAAACGGCAUAUGAAUCGGUAUAGAUGUAGCUGGCACCCUGCUGCGUGGCUAGUAGGACGGCUCUAAGCUCUCCUACUUGUGCGCUUCCCUUGCCUAUUUCACUURACCUUUCCCCUGUGGCCACUUCCAGUGCCACAGC